AAUAAAUACUUGUAUAAAAUGAAUUGAAAAAAAAAAAAAAAAAUACAAAAAGAAAUGGUAAUGGGAGCAUUUGUCCUAUAUGUACAAAUCCAAAUCGGGCGGAUCUUUACCCGGAGUAGAGCAUAAACCUAAAAAGAUGAAACAGACCCAUUCAGGAACAAGAAAAUACCAUCGCGGUUUGGAUUAAAUCUCGAUGAAAGAAUACAUCAAUGAGAAGUUAAUUCGAUAAGUUUAAUGACCCUUUCUUAUAACUUCGAAUUUUAUAAUAGAAAAUAUCAAAAAGGAGUAAAAACUCGUCUUUAUUGAAAAAUCGAAGAAAAGCCCUUUCGUUAGAAGUAAGAAAGAACCCUUGUAGAAAAAAAGAAAGAGGACUGGAAUCUCUACAUUGAUUCACAAUUUUUUUGAACCGUAUGCAUCAAAAGGCGCAUGUACGGUUCCUAAGGGAUACAAUUUUACCCUAAUCAACCGACUUUAUCGAGAAAGAUUACUUUUUUUAGGCCAAGGGAUUGGUACCGAGCUUUCGAAUCAACUUAUUGGUCUUAUGUUGUAUCUCAGUAUGGAGGAUGAGAACAAAGACCUGUAUUUGUUUGUAAACUCUCCUGGGGGCUGGGUAAUACCUGGGAUCGCCAUUUAUGAUACUAUGCAAUUUGUGCGACCAGAUAUCCAUACAAUAUGCCUAGGAUUAGCUGCUUCAAUGGGAUCUUUUAUCCUGGCCGGAGGACAACUUACCAAACGUAUAGCAUUCCCUCACGCUUGGCGCCAAUGAGGUUUUUAUUUGAGAGAAAAAAGAAGACUAUGCCUUCGCCAUAUGAAUACUAAGUAAUAAUAGCAUGGCACUUCGAAUUCGAUAUGAGAAAUUUUUGUAUUGUUUUUUUUUUUCAAAACAUUAGAUUCUGUAUCGAGAGAGUAGUAUGAGAUAAGGGGUAUUUCCGAUUUUCUAUUAUAUAUCGGGAGUUCAGUUCAGCGUCACAAACUUUUUGUUUUCAUGCCGGAGAGUUCUUAACAAUAUUUAUGUUAUGAAAGAGUACGAAAAAAAAAUAAUUUUUCCUUAUUUGAUCGGAUUAAAAAGAAACUUUGGGAUUGCUGAAUCACAGACAAAAAAAAGAAAAAAUAAACAUAUAAAGCAACGGAGCCAUCAUAGUAUUUUUGAAUUCCUCCGAAAGGAAGGAUGGCAAUUUGAUUAUUUACCCAUCUGAGUCUGAUAGAUUCUAUUUUUCUCUUUCUUCAAUGGGGGUCAAUUUUCUUGUAGAGCCGUAUGCACAAAAGAUGCCUGUACGGUUGUUCAAUUCUAUCUUUUUUCUAUUCUUUAUCUUUCUUUUUUCUUUGCUUUAUCAUGCGAGAUAGGGGAAGCUUUUAUUUUGUUAUAUCAUCAGGGUAAUGAUACAUGAACCUUAUAGUGGUUUUUAUAUGGCACAAGUAGGCGAAUUUGUCCUGGAAGCGAUAGAAAUGGCGAAACUGCGUGAAACCCUCACAAGGGUUUAUGCAGAAAAAACGGGCCAACCCGUGUGGGUUAUACACGAAGAUAUGGAAAGAGAUAUUUUUAUGUCAGCAACAGAAGCCCAAGCUUAUGGAAUUGUUGAUUUUGUAGCGGUUCAAGGAAAAGAACAUGGAUUUCACGCAGAUCUAUGAUUUGAGAUUUUAUCUUCGAAUUGAAUAUUCUAUUAAAUAGAAGUAAUUCACCAUCAUUCGGUUAGGAUCAAUCUAAACCAACCCAUCAUAUUAUGUAUACGAUUCAACAUGCCAACUAUUAAACAACUUAUUAGAAAUACAAGACAGCCAAUCAGAAAUGUCACGAAAUCCCCCGCUCUUCGGGGGUGCCCUCAGCGUCGAGGAACAUGUACUAGGGUGUAUGUGCGACUCGUUUAGAUCAUGAGCUGGCACAAAAAGCAAGAAAACUACUUUUACAGUAUCAAUGAUCAGUACCGGUGAAUGGGAUAGGAUGGAAAAAGGAACUCCAUCCAUUAUAAAAAAAAAACUCUACCAUAUCCCUCUAUUGUGUAUGAAGUUUAUGGUUUCCGUUGGUGUAAAUCCAAUCACCUGAAUUUAAGAUGAUAAGAAAUUCUCCAUUGGUAACAAAUGGUUAUCCAUUAAGCGGAGGAAAUCUUAUUUAAAAAGCAUAAAACAUAAAGAUUAGGUAGGCUCCCAAUCUGGCAAGAACGGACUAAGAGGGUCAGCUACCCAGCAAACUUUCAUAAUUAAAUACCGUUACUGUAUAGGUAGAUCUGAUUGUGAAAGACCUAUUACUGGACAAUUCAUGGGUAGAGCCAAAGCGUGUGAACUAUACAAGUUCCCAAUAACAUCAAUUAGUUGAUUAAAUAUUAAAAAUUAAAGUAUAAAGUAAAGGCUCCGGUGUAUAGAGAAGACCUCACCGUUUAAGAAGUAACCAUAGAAACGAAGGAACCCACUAUUUCUUUUUUAUUUCUUUUAUUUACUAUAUUUUUGAUACCUAGGAAAAUACAAUUUCUUAGUUCUGUCUUAUUUCGCAGUGAAAUACCUAAAA
rnacentral:lncRNA from 1 species